rnacentral:rRNA from 1 species
AUUGAACGCUGGCGGCAGGCUUAACACAUGCAAGUCGAGCGAGCGGCGGACGGGUGAGUAAUGUCUGGGAAACUGCCUGCUGGAGGGGGAUAACUACUGGAAACGGUAGCUAAUACCGCAUACCAUCAGAUGUGCCCAGAUGGGAUUAGCUAGUAGGUGGGUGAAUGGCUCACCUAGGCGACGAUCAAUAGCUGGUCUGAGAGGAGGACCGGCCACACUGGAACGGCGAAACGGUCCAGAGUCCUACGGUAGGCAGCAGUGGGGAAUAUUGCACAAUGGGAGAAAGCCUGAUGCAGCCAGGCCGCGUGUGUGAUGAAGGCCUUCGGGUUGUAAAGCACUAUUAGCGAGGAGGCGUUACUCGCAGAAGAAGCACCGGCUAACGACGUGCCAGCAGCCGCGGUAAUAC